CGAAAAGUCCAGUUACCAGUACAACUGUUAGUAAUGUUGAUCGUGAGAAUAGCAUUGAGAACGGUAUCAUUUCACCAUAUUUGCUGCAUGCAUGGGAUCACUGUUUUGCUGGAAAAUGAAUUCUUGUCCAAGAGGUCUUAUUUCUAAAGGAAUGAUAUGACGGAUAAGAUUGUGCAUGUACCUAUUCGAAUUCAGGGUGCCAUCAAUUUUGCAUAGUUUUCCAACAACACUGCCCGAGAUGUAGCCCACACUUGUACUGGACCCUCAGAAUUGUCUCACUCUAGAUAUUGGACAUUCUCUUCUCUCCCAUUGAACAAACUAUCUUUGAUUAUUACGAUACAAUUUUAAUAAGAUUUAUCUGUAAAGAGUACCCAACUUUAGCUCUGAUCAUCCAAUUUCAGUUUAUUGGUUGUCUCCUAAGCAGUGGUUUUUGAGCAGCUACACAUCCACUGAGACCAAAAAUGUGCUAAUAUGUAUCUUAUUGUUCUGGAGGUGACAUUCAUACCUGGACAUAUAGCUAUCUCUAUUGGGUUGUUGUGUAUCAUGUAAAGAGCACCCUGAAUUACUUAACAUCACUUUUUAAUAGUUUGGGCUUUCUACCUUGACCACUUCUAUUAUCAACAGUACUAGACUCAAUAAUCCUUCUUCAGAAUUUCCAUACACAAGAUUUAAUAACUCAAAAACAAAACUAAACCUACCAAGAAAUCAUGAAUCUACUAUCACUGAAUGUUAUGGAGAUUAACCCUAUCAGACCUUGUGGAGUUUUCUGCUGCUCAAUAGGGAAAUUGCAUCAGUGAAUUAAUUAAAUUAAAGAAAUUAUUCAAAGCCUUUUUCAACUUUUGUUUUUACAUAUUGGUAUAAAUUUAAAUGUCUCUACUAAAUUGUUUUAUUUAAUUAUGUUUAAAGAGAGUUUAGAAAAAAAAUCCAAAAUAUGUUUUAGGCUGCAAAUAAGUGCCCUCUAUAAAGUAAAACAAUAGUCUUUGGAAAUUUUUAAAACUUCACCAUAAUUACAGCUAUGUAUGCCAUCUAUGAUCAAUAUUCCAACUAUUUAGGACAGCUUAGUCUAUAAAUCAAUGCUCCUGAGCACAUACAGUUUUAAACAUUUUAACAAUGUAUGCCUCAAUCGGCAUGAUCUGAUGUAACAAUCUAUCUCAUGUUCGACAAAUGAUAGGAUGAUAAACUAAGCACGUGAUGACAGCCAAUUUUAUGUGCUUUGAAAUGGUAUACAGAAUGUGUGAUUGACACUAGUACUUGUGAAGUAGUUGAGAGAUAUAAAGAAGGAAGACAGUUUGUAACAAUAUUUGACAUAAACAUCUUUGAUUUUAAUUAAUUAUUUAUUUAUAACCUCUAAGAACAUGAUAUAUCAUUUAAAUAUUUAUUUUAAUUAUUAUAUUGUGGUGUCAACUCAAAAUAAGUAUUUUUCUGGAACAAAAAUUUAUUUAUGAGUGUUAUGCUUAGAAAAAUUUAGCUUCAAUGAUGCCAAAUGCAAGACCUUAGAAGUUAAUUAGGCUAAGCGAAAGAUGUUCUGUGUAUGUUACUGGCAAAUGAACACUUAUUCAUACUGUUGACAUGGUUGUUUUAUUAGCUUAAUAGACCUUAGGGUACAGUCAAAGACAAAUUUUAAAUAAAUACAAGUGAACUUAUGGAACAAGUUUAAAAAUCAGUUAAGUGUAUGCGAGUGAAAUCCUAAAUAAGAAUAAAAAAUGCAUACUAGCUUAUUGUUUUGGUUUGUUUAGAAAUAUUAUUUUUUGUUCUUAUAUAAUAAUUGUGCACAAAAGGAACGUUAGUGACAAAAAAACUUAAAAAUAGACAAAAUUUAUACCUUAUGGAAUAAUAAAAUGUUAUUAUGGAUCUUUAGAAUAAUGUACUAAAACUCGCUCAAAUGUAAGUAUUUUACUUAUUACUUGUAAGAACCAUUUCCUAAUACAAUUUUCCCAAGAUUUCAAAAAUGAUAAUGCACAAAAACUAAAUAUAUCAAAAUUUGAGAUUUUUUUUUCUUUCUGAAGCUGCAUAAAUUUCAGAAAAUUCCUGUUAAGUUUCAAACAAUUUCAUCUACUAGUUUUAUUUUUGGAAUGAAGUAUGAUGAGAACUACAUAACUUGCUGGGUCUGGUAGGGUUAAGAAUUACCUGUUUCAUAUUUUAGAAAUAAACUGUACUAAUUUUGUUUCCAGCUCUCAUACGUAGUAUACAUAAUCUAUUUUACUGUUUCUAGAAACUUCAUUCAGGUAUCCCAACUACAACGAACAGAGGAAAUGACUAUUAUGCUUACAUCAAACAUUUGUAGAAGUCUCAUACUCCAGAGGAGAUUUUAAAAAAGAUAGAAGGCCCUGAUCUGAAACCUGUUGAUCUAUUGGAUGUUUUCUUAGUCCUGAUCUAGAAACUGUUGUUCUGUUGGGUGUUUUCUAAUACCUGGUCCAGAAACUGUUGCUCUGUUGGAUGUUUUUAAGACCUGUUCUAGAACCUGCUGUUUUGUUGGGGGUGUUUUUUAACACCUGAUCUAAAAACUGUUGGGUAUUUUCUAACACCCGAUCUAGAAACUGUUGUUCUGUCGGGUGUUUUUAGGACCUGGUCUAGAAGCUCUCUUACUAAUAUAAUAUCAUAAAGUAGGGUUAAAGUUUCAAGGUCUUGAUCAUUGUCAAAUAAACAUUUCAGUGAAUUUUAUGCUAGUCUGUGGAAAUCAUAAAUAACAUUAUAUUGUAUUUUUCUGUGAUAUUUUUCUUGUCAAAAUGAACAGUAAUUGUAACAAAAUGCUAUUAAAGUACCUUUAUUUUUUGA
rnacentral:lncRNA from 1 species